CCAAUAGCGUAUAUUAAAGUUGUUGCAGUUAAAAAGCUCGUAGUUGAAUUUCGGGAUCAGUUGGACGGUCGUGCCUCGGUACGUACUGGUCAAAUUGAUUCCUACCUUCUGACGAACCACGAUGUCAUUAAUUUGGUGUCGUGGGGAAUCAGGACUGUUACUUUGAAAAAAUUAGAGUGUUUAAAGCAGGCUCGCGCUUGAAUACAUUAGCAUGGAAUAAUGAAAUAGGACGUUUGAUUCUAUUUUGUUGGUUUCUAGGAUCGACGUAAUGAUUAAUAGGGAUAGUUGGGGGCAUUAGUAUUCAAUUGUCAGAGGUGAAAUUCUUGGAUUUAUUGAAGACUAACUACUGCGAAAGCAUUUGCCAAGGAUGUUUUCAUUAAUCAAGAACGAAAGUUAGGGGAUCGAAGACGAUCAGAUACCGUCGUAGUCUUAACCAUAAACUAUGCCGACUAGGGAUCGGAUGAUGUUAAUUUUUUAAUGACUCAUUCGGCGCCUUACG
rnacentral:misc_RNA from 1 species